AUUGAACGCUGGCGGCAGGCCUAACACAUGCAAGUCGAGCGGAUGAAGGGAGCUGGCUCCUGGAUUCAGCGGAGGACGGGUGAGUAAUGCCUAGGAAUCUGCCUGGUAGUGGGGGAUAACGUCCGGAAACGGGCGCUAAUACCGCAUACGUCCUGAGUGAGAAAGUGGGGGAUCUUCGGACCUCACGCUAUCAGAUGAGCCUAGGUCGGAUUAGCUAGUUGGUGGGGUAAAGGCCUACCAAGGCGACGAUCCGUAACUGGUCUGAGAGGAUGAUCAGUCACACUGGAACUGAGACACGGUCAAGACUCCUACGGGAGGCAGCAGUGGGGAAUAUUGGACAAUGGGCGAAAGCCUGAUCCAGCCAUGCCGCGUGUGUGAAGAAGGUCUUCGGAUUGUAAAGCACUUUAAGUUGGGAGGAAGGGCAGUAAGUUAAGACCUUGCUGUAUUGACGUUACCAACAGAAUAAGCACCGGCUAACUUCGUG
rnacentral:rRNA from 1 species